rnacentral:rRNA from 1 species
UAGGGAAUCUUCGGCAAUGGACGAAAGUCUGACCGAGCAACGCCGCGUGAGUGAAGAAGGUUUUCGGAUCGUAAAACUCUGUUGUUAGAGAAGAACAAGGACGUUAGUAACUGAACGUCCCCUGACGGUAUCUAACCAGAAAGCCACGGCUAACUACGUGCCAGCAGCCGCGGUAAUACGUAGGUGGCAAGCGUUGUCCGGAUUUAUUGGGCGUAAAGCGAGCGCAGGCGGUUUCUUAAGUCUGAUGUGAAAGCCCCCGGCUCAACCGGGGAGGGUCAUUGGAAACUGGGAUACUUGAGUGCAGAAGAGGAGAGUGGAAUUCCAUGUGUAGCGGUGAAAUGCGUAGAUAUAUGGAGGAACACCAGUGGCGAAGGCGGCUCUCUGGUCUGUAACUGACGCUGAGGCUCGAAGGCGUGGGGAGCAAACAGG